rnacentral:rRNA from 1 species
CCACGGGAGGCAGCAGUGAGGAAUAUUGGUCAAUGGGAGAGAUCCUGAACCAGCCAAGCCGCGUGAGGGAAGACGGCCCUAUGGGUUGUAAACCUCUUUUGUCGGAGAACAAAACCCGGGACGUGUCCCGGACUGCGUGUAUCCGAAGAAAAAGCAUCGGCUAACUCCGUGCCAGCAGCCGCGGUAAUACGGAGGAUGCGAGCGUUAUCCGGAUUUAUUGGGGUUAAAGGGUGCGUAGGCGGUCCGUUAAGUCAGCGGUAAAAUUGCGGGGCUCAACCCCGUCGAGCCGUUGAAACUGGCAGACUUGAGUUGGCGAGAAGUACGCGGAAUGCGCGGUGUAGCGGUGAAAUGCAUAGAUAUCGCGCAGAACUCCGAUUGCGAAGGCAGCGUACCGGCGCCAGACUGACGCUGAGGCACGAAAGCGUGGGGAUCGAACAGGAUUAGAUACCCUUGUAGUC